GGCCUGCCAUGCUGGGAUCCUGUGCGGUGCUGCUCCUUGGGGGUCCAGGGCCGUGGCCCAGUCCGGCCCCAUGGGGAGAGAUUAGACCCUGUUCUGAUCCGAACCCAGCGGGAAGGACGCUCUGGGAGCCAGGAAGAAGGAGGGAGAGGAGAGGGUGGGAUUGGGGUGGGAAGAGAGAGAGAGAUCCCAAGGACCUUCCCAGGGAACAAGCAGAGCAGAGGGGAGACCCUCCCCUGGGAACAGGCGUAGCAGGAGGGAGACCCUCCCUGGGAAACAGGUGGAGCAGGGUGGAGAUCCUCCCUGGGGAACAGUCAGAGCAGUAGGGAGACCCUCCCCAGGGAACAGGCGGAGCAGGAGGGAGACACUGCCUGGGGAACAGGCGGAGCAGGAAGGAGUCCAAGGCCUUGUUUGCUUUAUAAAUACACCCGGUGCAGCUCUGGGACAGCUGCUUUCCCAGCCAUCACUCAGCCGCUUAAUGACAGUUCAAAGCCCUUUUUUCCUGGGCAGCUGGGACAGUUCAUUUCCAGUGACCGAGGCACUUUCAGUCUGGUCUGAACUGCCCCUGUGCACACAGAGCUGGAGGCAGCCGGUCUGGGGAGGGUGCAGGCAGCACCCAGUCCCCCAGUUUGACUGACUGCCAGAGCUGGGUUUGCUUGGUGGGUGCUGGUGAUGGGGGCUCAUGCUCUGCCUGGAAUGGGACGGAGCCAGCAAGGUAGAGCUCUGCCAGCACUUGAGGGUGUGGUGGGGGGGGGGGGGCAGGUGAACUGUGUUGGGGGUGGGGAGAUUUCACCCCUUUCUCUCCCCUUUUUCUCCUUCCAUUUCUGGGCCUGAUCUGAAGAACCAAGAGGUUCUGAUCAGAUUUGGGAGGAUCGUCACUGGGAUUUAGUGUACUCAGCCAUCCCUUCCAGGAGUGCAGACACCAGGCCAGGCCAGGCCAUAGAGAAAUCCUCUGCAUGAACACUGGGCAGGCCAGGGUGGGAGCUGGAAAGCCAGAGUGAACCACAGGGUCUGUCUGGGUCCAGCAGUUGCAUAAAAAAUUCCCCUUUAUAUUCAGCCCAGCCUAGCA